rnacentral:tRNA from 1 species
GCGAGCGUAGCACAGUGGUAGUGUGGUGGCCUUCCAAGCCGCUUACGUGGGUUCGAUUCCCAUCGCUCGCU